rnacentral:lncRNA from 1 species
CUUGACGACGAAAUAUAUUUUGGAAUUUAUUAACAUUCUCUAAAAAAGGUACUGUUAAUAAUCCCGCAGGUGCUGAAACAAUUAAAAGAACCCCCAAUAAUUUAUUGGGCACUGUACGAAGUAUUUGAAAUACAGAAAAGAAAUACCAUUCAGGUUAAUAAAUCUAUUGGACUUACUUAGUGAAAAUAGAUUGGAAAUCUUUAGCAUAAUUAAUAUAUUAAUAUAUUCAAAAUAAAUUCAGAAUUAAACUGAAUAGAUGUAUCUAAGGAGAAUUCACUUUAAAGAAACUAUACCCUAGAUACACAUGUCGUGUUAUUUCACAAUUGAAUCAAUUUAAAAAUUUAAAAAAGACCUAAAGUUAGGGAUUUAUCAAUAGGUAAUGUUGCACCAAUGUCCAACCAAAGGGCGUCUGCGGUACCAAUCAAAAAGAUAAUCGUCACUAUUGGAAGGCGAAAUAGAUUUUGGAAUUUAUUAACAUUCUCUAAAAAAGGUAUUGUUAAUAAUUCCACAGGAAUUGAAACCAUUAAAAUAACCCCCAAUAAUUUAUUGGGCACUGUACGAAGUAUUUGAAAUACAGGAAAGAAAUACCAUUCAGGUAAUAUUUCCAAAGGGGUUGCAAAUGGAUCUGCCGGUUUACCAAUCAUUGAUGGUUCUAAAACGGCUAAGCCUACAUUACAUGCAAUAGUACCUAGAUUACUAAUGGAAAAAUAUAUAAAAGAUCAUUGGGCCAUGUGGGCUCUCCAUAAUAAUUAUGACCCAUACUUUUAGCCAAUUUAGCUAUUAAUACAGGAUCAUUCAAGUAAGUUUUUUUUGGUUAUUGGGAUAGGUGAAGUCUUAUAGAUCCAUCCCCCGAGGGAACUGGACAUGAUAAUUUUUAAUCAUCCAGCUCGAGCAAGAAUAAAAAGAACCAAAUGAAUCUAUAUAUCCAUAUAAAAUAUAUAUAUGGUACAUGUAUUUACACAUACACAUAUAUGAUAUAGGAAUGGUUCAAUGUAAGCAAAAUUUGACUGAAUUCUUUUUUACGGAGUUGCAACUAUCCAUUACAAAACAAAGAAUUCCGUUCUUACAAGUAAAUACUCAAGACCCAAGUAGGCUUACAUCCAUUACAAAACAAAGGAUUUCGUUCUUACAAGUAAAUACUCAAGACCCAAGUAGGCUUACAAAUCGGAUCAUGAUAUGAUGAAGUGCUUUCUGGGUCGUCUCAGACCUUCUAAUUGGUAUUUAUCUCCAAAAUAUUUGGAGAUAUACAUACUAGGUUUGCUUGUUACUAAUAUAGUCUAGCCUCUCUUCUUCUUUAGAUCCCCUGUUUCACUCCGAUAGUAGUAUUAAUCGUGUCAAUGCAGAGGAAAUGAAUACAUUUACAUACUAUUUAAUCUUAUAAGUGAACUAGAUAAAAUGGAAUCUUGAUUCCAUUUUAUCUGGUUCACUUAUACGGGAUCUUACGGAGCCUGCUCAUGUACAACAUGAUUCGGACCUGAUCAUAGAAAAUAUUCUCUUUAAGCGAACCAGCCUAUCCUCUGUAUAUGGCUUACACGGAGAUUGGAACAAAGACACAUUUGGUUGUGAAUUCCCAUGUGGUAGGCAUAUAUCUACACAGACCAAUCAAUAGCUCAAGUCAUACACUCCCAUAAUCCAUUUUCUCUUCACAAAAUUCCCUUCAAUCCCCCGUUUAGUUGAUAUGAAUAGUUAAAGGAAAAUACCCAAACCCAUGUCUUAUUAUUUUCAAUAAUCCAUACUUGUAGCAAUGAAAUACUAUAUAUUCCUCCACCAAGUGAUAAAUGAUUAAUUACAAAUAUUUAGGAUCUAUUAUUCUUUUCUCUAAAAAGGCCCAGAAAUACCUUGUUUACGUAUCAUUGGAAAGUGCAUUAAC